CCAGACUCCUACGGGAGGCAGCAGUGGGGAAUAUUGCACAAUGGGGGAAACCCUGAUGCAGCGACGCCGCGUGAGUGAAGAAGUAUCUCGGUACGUAAAGCUCUAUCAGCAGGGAAGAAAAUGACGGUACCUGACCAAGAAGCCCCGGCUAACUACGUGCCAGCAGCCGCGGUAAUACGUAGGGGGCAAGCGUUAUCCGGAUUUACUGGGUGUAAAGGGAGCGUAGACGGCAGUGCAAGUCCGGAGUGAAAGCCCGGGGCUCAACCCUGGGACUGCUCUGGAAACUGUAAAGCUGGAGUGCGGGAGGGGCAGGCGGAAUUCCUGGUGUAGCGGUGAAAUGCGUAGAUAUCAGGAGGAACACCGGCGGCGAAGGCGGCCUGCUGGACCGUAACUGACGUUGAGGCUCGAAAGCGUGGGGAGCAAACAGGAUUAGAUACCCCGGUA
rnacentral:rRNA from 1 species